UCAGGAAGCAGAUGAUCCUCCUUCUGAUAUAUUGUUAGGUCAAUAUCUAAGAUGACAUCACAAUGCUUCACAGUGUCUUUGUGGUGGACCUCCUAGAUAUUUUAUCAUCUCAGAUCAUCAUCAUAAGAACUAGUAGAAAUGACAUAAAGUGAUGUAAUUUCCUGCCAGAGAUCUGAAGUUUCAAACACGGUGUAUCAUUUGAGAAGUAUAACUAAAACUAUUCAAAUAAUGCAAAACAAGGUUAUCACCUCAAUUUCACAAAUGUUCUUCAUGGAAGCCUAGGAAGUAAACCUGGGUCAUGGAGGACAUGGUUCCAAUGCUCAGUUUCUUUUGAAAAAUUUUCAUCCAAACAUGAAUUCACAGAGUGGAAAGUGCACAAUCUAUGAAGUCUACUUAAACAGAGGUUGUUCAACAUUUUACUGCAAAAGGCCAGACUAGUAAUGGUUUAAAGUGAUGCAUGGAAAGUGCUGUUCAGAAAGAAAGAUAACAUAUACAAAGGACAUAUGCCUAGAGAUUAUAAAGAACAUGAAAGGGGAGCACCUGGGUGGCUCAGAUGUUUAAGUUUCUGCCUUCAGCUGAGGUCAUGAUCUCCAUCCAGGUCCUGGAAUGGAGCCCCACGUCGGGGGGCUACCCCUGCCAUUGGGGAGCCUGCUUUUCCUUCUCCCUCUGCCACAUCCCCACUUUUACAGAUUAACAACUUGUGGAGAUAAUGAUCACAUGCUUUACUUGCAUCUUUAUGGUACUACAAGACCCCAUUCUCUGAACAAGAAGCACAGCAAAAACACUGAAGGAAAAUAAUGUUGGUUUAAUGCAAAUUUCAGUGUGGAAGAUGAAUGUGAAAGAGUCGAGGAAAGAAACUGAGCCAUGGUGGACCAGCAGGGUUGGAGGAAAAGUGCCAAACAUUUUAUUUUUAUUGGAGACAGAGAGAGAGAGAGAGAGAGGCAGAGAC